GCUGGGGUAGGGGACAGCACCUGUAGUCCCAGCUACGUACUUGGGAGGCUAAGGCAGAAGGAUGGCUUGAGUACAGGAGCUUUGGGCAGUAGUGCACUAUGCUGAUUGGGUGUCUGCACUAAGAUGGGUAUCAAUAUUGUUACCUCCCAGGAGCAGGCUGCCACCAGGUUGCUAAGGAGGGGUAACCACCCAGGUUGGAAACAAAGAAGGUCAAAACUUCCAUGCUGAUCAUAGUGGAAUUGUGACUGUGAAUAGCCUCUGCACUCUAGCCUGGGCAACAUGAGACCCUGUCUCU
rnacentral:SRP_RNA from 1 species